AUGGGGGUUAAGUGGAAAUUUUCCUUUUAUUUGCUAAUAAAAGUCAGUAGCCUUUUCUUCUUCAGCAAGAAGAAAAGAAACAGAGCACAGACGGGAGAAAACAGAGAAAGAAAGGGAAAGAAGAGAAGGGAAGAAAGAAAAGAAAAGAAAGAAGAAGAAAAGAAAGAAAAAGAAGGAAAGGGAAAGGAAGAGAAAAGGGAUUUAUAGGAAAAGGGAAUAGGGUGAAGAAGAAGGGAGAUUUGCAAGAGAUUUCAACUCUGAUUUAGAGGCUACCCAAAUCAGUACGACAGAAUUUAGUGCUCUGCUUGUGCUUUAUUUCAUGCCAAGUAUGACAGAAUCGAAUGCUCUGCCCGUGUGAGAUUUUAGUAUACCGGGACAUCCUCCAGAUCGUGCGGGAUAGUGUUUUGUUGGGUUGUGCCACAGUGUAGCAUCUUUCGUGGAUGUUUUCAUUUGCACGCAUCUAUAUAGAUUUUUUGUUGUUUUUUUUUUUAUAUAAACUUGUGAAAUGUUGAAAGGCCGGAGGCCUAAUUACAAUAUUCUCAUGACUUUUGAAAUGAGUAAAGAUGUAAAUUAUUUUGUCAUGUAUAUGAUAAGGCCGGAGGCCUGAUUACAGGUUUA